rnacentral:rRNA from 1 species
AACAGGAUUAGAUACCCUGGUAGUCCACGCCGUAAACGGUGGGUACUAGGUGUGGGUUUCCUUCCUUGGGAUCCGUGCCGUAGCUAACGCAUUAAGUACCCCGCCUGGGGAGUACGGCCGCAAGGCUAAAACUCAAAGAAAUUGACGGGGGCCCGCACAAGCGGCGGAGCAUGUGGAUUAAUUCGAUGCAACGCGAAGAACCUUACCUGGGUUUGACAUGCACAGGACGACGGCAGAGAUGUCGUUUCCCUUGUGGUCUGUGUGCAGGUGGUGCAUGGCUGUCGUCAGCUCGUGUCGUGAGAUGUUGGGUUAAGUCCCGCAACGAGCGCAACCCUUGUCUCAUGUUGCCAGCGCGUUAUGGCGGGGACUCGUGAGAGACUGCCGGGGUCAACUCGGAGGAAGGUGUGGAUGACGUCAAGUCAUCAUGCCCCUUAUGUCCAGGGCUUCACACAUGCUACAAUGGCCGGUACAAAGGGCUGCGAUGCCGUGAGGCUUAGCGAAUCCUUUAAAGCCGGUCUCAGUUCGGAUCGGGGUCUGCAUCUCGACCCCGUGAAGUCGGAGUCGCUAGUAAUCGCAGAUCAGCAACGCUGCGGUGAAUACGUUCCCGGGCCUUGUACACACCGCCCGUCACGUCAUGAAAGUCGGUAACACCCGAAGCCAGUGGCCUAACCCUUGUGGGGGGAGCUGUCGAAGGUGGGAUCGGCGAUUGGGACGAAGUCGUAACAAGGUAACC